rnacentral:sRNA from 1 species
UGCUCAAUAUUUCAUAUCUCAAAACAUUUUCUCCAGAAUCAUUUGUAAUAUAUGAAGGGCAUUAAUCAAUAAAGUAUAUAAUACAUGUACUAGACAAAAUUUCAAUUGAGAUGAAUUGUAUUUAAUUGAAUAGUACAAUUUUUAUUUGUUUGUCAGAACUAAUCAUAUUUUAAAUUACUUGCUUUCUAAUUCAAAAUGACUAAGUGUUGGUCAUAUAAUGACCAUUAAAUCAUUUUUGAGGUCAUUACUUAUCGAUGUACCGGUAACUUUUUUGUUUAUUUUAUGGAACUUCUUUUUAAUAUUAUUGUCACACAAUUUAACUUCAACAUGUUUUGGCAUUGUCAUAAAGCAAAACGGUUUAUUGCUUUAACUUGACAGUUCUAGGGAAUUCUUACUUGUCUCUUAAAAACACAAAUUAUCUUUUAUUGAAAAAGUUAAACCACUAAAGCAUUAACUAUAUUUUAGAAUUUUAAUUUUUUUAUUAAAUUUUGAACAAAAUUUUUUUCUUUAAAUCAUGACUCAAAAGUCCAUCUACUGUACACAUCUAACUGCGUGAAAGUAAUUUCUAACAUACUGUUUCAGAAAUGGGGAUUAAUAUCCAAUAUUAAAUGGUCGUAAAUAGGUACCUAGUAAUAACUGUUAUUGUUUACAUUAUACAUCCCUGGUAUUACAUUUUGCAGUGCUUUUGUAGUCGAUCAUUUUCUUGACCAAUAUUUGAUCUGAUGGAAUUCUCCGGUCUUGGCAUACCAUUCUCAUGUCACAUUUUGUUUUGUUGUUUUUGCUUUGUUAUUUUAUGUGCAAUGAUUUACAGUUAUUUUUAAAAUUCACAGUUACAAUAUGCAUUAAACUACAGGAACAAUG